rnacentral:misc_RNA from 1 species
GAUGAAGAACGCAGCGAAAUUCGAUAAUUAAUGUGAAUUGCAGAAUUCCGUGAAUCAUCGAGUCUUUGAACGCACAUUGCGCCUCAUGGCAUUCCGUGAGGCAUGCCCAUCUCAGCGUUAGAAAAUAUUCUCAAAUUUUAGUUUUGUGCUAAAAUUUGGAUCAUGUCAAGGAAGCUAUUACUAUUAUUGUGAUCGCUCUUUGGAAAUUGAUAGGUCUUUGAGUUGCUACUCAUAGAACGUGAUGAAUCUUUCUUCGUUCUAUUGUAAUUCACUCUGGUAGUCCUAAAACUUGUAUGCCUGUGGCAUAUCUUGUAAUUUGACCUGAGAUUGGGUAGGGAUACCCGCUGAACUUAAGCAUAUCAAUAAGCGGAGGA